rnacentral:lncRNA from 1 species
UGCGCGCUGACGGGCCGCCCAUCGCGGGCUGGUGAGGGUCGCUGGGCCAGCCCGGCCGCCUCGGAAGGUCCCUGCCCCUCUGGUGAGCGCGCGAGCCCCAACGGCCGGCUCCUCCUUCGCCUGGACCGACUCGGCUCGCUUCCCGGUGCCUGACGCUGCUCCAUCCCGACCCGCGGCCCCCGGUGGGUUCCUUGUGUAGGCCCUGCGCGCUGCCGGCGUCCCGGCUCGCCCCACCCGCCAUUUUUUCCCGAGUACCAGGAUCUUGUACCACUGCCUCUCAUCCGCGAUCUCCCUGUGGUGUGUUUCUCGGCGACGUUCCCGGCUGCAGUGAUUUGAAGGCAAAAGAUCGUUUUCAGAAAUGGAUGGGAUGUCUUCAGAAGCUAAUGAAGAGAAGUAAGUUCAUUUAGUACUGCUAAAAUGUUCUAUUAAAGAUUCUUUCCAAUCUAGAUAAGAACUAUCAGCGAUAUCUGAAAUUGUUUUCUAUUUUGUUUCAAGUAAAAGAAAGUGAUAGCCCUUCUGCCAUAUCUUUGUAAAAUUUCACUUAGAAUAAGAACUGAGAACUUGAAGGACUUUGAUGGAUACCACCUUUCAUCUUAUUAAGGCCUUAGGAGCUGAAAUAAUUUCUUUAAAAAUAGCAUCAUAAACUAGUGAGCUGUUUGUAGCUUAAAAAUAACGUUUUUUGAAAUAGUUUCACUAUGACGUCCUUGGUUGGCCUGAAACCCCACAGGCUAGCCUAGAACUCACAGAGAUUCGCUUGCCUCUACCUUUGGAGUACUAGUAUUAAAGCCAAGUGCCACCACACUUGUCCCUUUUUUUUUUUUUUUUUUUUUUUUUUUGGAGACAGAGUUUUUCUUUAGCCCUGGCUGUCCUGGAAUUUGCUCUACAGACUGGGCUGGCCUGGAACUCAGAGAUCCAUCUGCCUCUGCCUCCCAAGUGCUGGGAUUAAAGUCACAACAGCCUGGCUCUGAUUUUCAACUUAUACAUGAUCUUAAUUUUUCAGUUAAUUGCCCAAAUUGUAAAGAUCUCACGAUUUCAUAAAAUAAUUAGAUUUUCAGUUUUUCUUUAAAAACCAAGUGUGGCAACAAAACUCACAUUCUUCCUUGGGACAGUUAGCUAGAAGAACAUAAUGCCUAUGGUCUUUAUACCAGGCAAGAAUUCUGUAGAUUAUCUGAGUCUCUGUACUGUCUUUAUUUUUCUUACACCUCACAAUUAUCUAUUUGGCCAAGAGGCAUUUGGGACUUUCAAAAC